CCCUUAGAGUUUGAUCCUGGCUCAGGAUGAACGCUGGCGGCGUGCCUAACACAUGCAAGUCGAACGAAGUUACACAGAGGAAGUUUUCGGAUGGAAUCAGUAUAACUUAGUGGCGGACGGGUGAGUAACGCGUGGGAAACCUGCCCUGUACCGGGGGAUAACACUUAGAAAUAGGUGCUAAUACCGCAUAAGCGCACGGAACCGCAUGGUUCCGUGUGAAAAACUCCGGUGGUACAGGAUGGUCCCGCGUCUGAUUAGCCAGUUGGCAGGGUAACGGCCUACCAAAGCGACGAUCAGUAGCCGGCCUGAGAGGGUGAACGGCCACAUUGGGACUGAGACACGGCCCAAACUCCUACGGGAGGCAGCAGUGGGGAAUAUUGCACAAUGGGGGAAACCCUGAUGCAGCGACGCCGCGUGAGUGAAGAAGUAUUUCGGUAUGUAAAGCUCUAUCAGCAGGGAAGAAAAUG
rnacentral:rRNA from 1 species